UUGUUGGGGUUGUAGGACACUCUAUACGGAGUUACAAAAGAACAUGUUAGACGAAUCAUCUGGAAAGAUGAAUCAAAGAAGGUAAUAAUCCUGUAGUCGAAAACAUAUUCUCUCUUGAGUGGAUCCUGAGUACGACGGAGCACGUGAAAUUCCGUCGGAAUCUGGGAGGACCAUCUCCUAAGGCUAAAUACUCUCUAGUGACCGAUAGUGAACCAGUACCGUGAGGGAAAGGUGAAAAGUACCCCGGAAGGGGAGUGAAAGAGAACUUGAAACCGUGUGCUUACAAGUAGUCAGAGCCCGUUAAUGGGUGAUGGCGUGCCUUUUGUAGAAUGAACCGGCGAGUUACGAUCUGAUGCAAGGUUAAGCAGCAAAUGUGGAGCCGCAGCGAAAGCGAGUCUGAAUAGGGCGUUGAGUAUUUGGUCGUAGACCCGAAACCAGGUGAUCUACCCUUGGUCAGGUUGAAGUUCAGGUAACACUGAAUGGAGGACCGAACCGACUUACGUUGAAAAGUGAGCGGAUGAACUGAGGGUAGCGGAGAAAUUCCAAUCGAACUUGGAGAUAGCUGGUUCUCUCCGAAAUAGCUUUAGGGCUAGCCUCAAGUGAUGAUUAUUGGAGGUAGAGCACUGUUUGGACGAGGGGCCCCUCUCGGGUUACCGAAUUCAGACAAACUCCGAAUGCCAAUUAAUUUAACUUGGGAGUCAGAACAUGGGUGAUAAGGUCCGUGUUCGAAAGGGAAACAGCCCAGACCACCAGCUAAGGUCCCAAAAUAUAUGUUAAGUGGAAAAGGAUGUGGCGUUGCCCAGACAACUAGGAUGUUGGCUUAGAAGCAGCCAUCAUUUAAAGAGUGCGUAAUAGCUCACUAGUCGAGUGACACUGCGCCGAAAAUGUACCGGGGCUAAACAUAUUACCGAAGCUGUGGAUUGUCCUUUGGACAAUGGUAGGAGAGCGUUCUAAGGGCGUCGAAGCAUGAUCGCAAGGACAUGUGGAGCGCUUAGAAGUGAGAAUGCCGGUGUGAGUAGCGAAAGACGGGUGAGAAUCCCGUCCACCGAUUGACUAAGGUUUCCAGAGGAAGGCUCGUCCGCUCUGGGUUAGUCGGGUCCUAAGCUGAGGCCGACAGGCGUAGGCGAUGGAUAACAGGUUGAUAUUCCUGUACCACCUAGUAUCGUUUUAAUCGAUGGGGGGACGCAGUAGGAUAGGCGAAGCGUGCUGUUGGAGUGCACGUCCAAGCAGUAAGGCUGAGUGUUAGGCAAAUCCGGCACUCAUAAGGCUGAGCUGUGAUGGGGAGAGGAAAUUGUUUCCUCGAGUCGUUGAUUUCACACUGCCGAGAAAAGCCUCUAGAUAGAUAACAGGUGCCCGUACCGCAAACCGACACAGGUAGUCAAGAUGAGAAUUCUAAGGUGAGCGAGCGAACUCUCGUUAAGGAACUCGGCAAAAUGACCCCGUAACUUCGGGAGAAGGGGUGCUCUUUA
rnacentral:rRNA from 1 species